rnacentral:rRNA from 1 species
AGGACGACCAGCCACACUGGGGCUGAGACACGGCCCAGACACCUACGGGUAGCAGCAGUCGAGAAUUUUUUUCAAUGGGGGAAACCCUGAAGGAGCGACGCCGCGUGGGGGAUGAAGGACUUCGGUUCGUAAACCCCUGUCACCUGGGAACAAACGUUUCAACCCAAUACGUUGAAAUUUGAUAGUACCAGGAGAGGAAGGCACGGCUAACUCUGUGCCAGCAGCCGCGGUAAUACAGAGGUGCCAAGCGUUGUUCGGAUUUAUUGGGCGUAAAGGGUGCGUAGGUGGCGGCGCAAGUCGGAUGUGAAAUCCCGGAGCCUAACUCCGGAAUUGCAUUCGAAACUGCGCUGCUCGAGGCCUGGAGAGGUGACAGGAAUUCUCGGUGUAGCAGCGAAAUGCGUAGAUAUCGAGAGGAACACCAGAGGCGAAAGCGAGUCACUGGACAGAGCCUGACACUGAGGCACGAAAGCCAGGGGAGCAAACCGGAUUAGAUACCCGGGUAGUCCUGGCCGUAAACGGUGCGCAUUUGAGGUGGGGGGAUUCGACCCCCUCCGUCUCGAAGCUAACGCGUUAAAUGCGCCGCCUGGGGAGUACGGUCGCAAGAUUAAAACUCAAAGAAAUUGACGGGGGCCCGCACAAGCGGUGGAGCAUGUGGCUUAAUUCGAUGCAACGCGAAGAACCUUACCUGGCCUUGACAUGUGCGUAGUAGAACCAUGAAAGUGGAACGAGGCAGCAAUGCCAGCGCACACAGGUGCUGCAUGGCUGUCGUCAGCUCGUGCCGUGAGGUGUUCGGUUAAGUCCGGUAACGAGCGCAACCCCUAUGGCCUGUUGCCACUCUCAGCAAUGAGAAGCACUCCGGCCAGACUGCCCUGCAUAACGGGGAGGAAGGUGGGGAUGACGUCAAGUCAGUAUGGUCCUUACGGCCAGGGCUGCACACGUGCUACAAUGCCCGGCACAGAGGGACGCUAACCCGCGAGGGGGAGCCAAUCCCAGAAAACCGGGCUCAGUUCAGAUUGAAGGCUGCAACUCGCCUUCAUGAAGCUGGAAUCGCUAGUAAUGGCGCAUCAGCUACGGCGCCGUGAAUACGUUCCCGGGCCUUGUACACACCGCCCGUCACACCAUGGAAGCCGGGGGAGCCCGAAGUCGGCGCGCCAACCGCAAGGAGGCAGCCGCCUAAGGCUAAACCGGUGACUGGGGUGAAGUCGGAACAAGGUA